rnacentral:rRNA from 1 species
CGCGUGGGAACGUGCCCUUUCUGCGGAAUAGCCUUGGGAAACUGAGAGUAAUACCGCAUACGCCCUUUUGGGGGAAAGAUUUAUCGGAGAAGGAUCGGCCCGCGUUGGAUUAGGUAGUUGGUGGGGUAAUGGCCUACCAAGCCGACGAUCCAUAGCUGGUUUGAGAGGAUGAUCAGCCACACUGGGACUGAGACACGGCCCAGACUCCUACGGGAGGCAGCAGUGGGGAAUCUUAGACAAUGGGGGCAACCCUGAUCUAGCCAUGCCGCGUGAGUGAUGAAGGCCUUAGGGUUGUAAAGC